GACGAACGCUGGCGGCGUGCCUAAUACAUGCAAGUUGAGCGCUGAAGGUUGGUACUUGUACCAACUGAAUGAGCAGCGAACGGGUGAGUAACGCGUGGGGAAUCUGCCUUUGAGCGGGGGACAACAUUUGGAAACGAAUGCUAAUACCGCAUAAAAACUUUAAACACAAGUUUUAAGUUUGAAAGAUGCAAUUGCAUCACUCAAAGAUGAUCCCGCGUUGUAUUAGCUAGUUGGUGAGGUAAAGGCUCACCAAGGCGAUGAUACAUAGCCGACCUGAGAGGGUGAUCGGCCACAUUGGGACUGAGACACGGCCCAAACUCCUACGGGAGGCAGCAGUAGGGAAUCUUCGGCAAUGGACGAAAGUCUGACCGAGCAACGCCGCGGGAGUGAAGAAGGUUUUCGGAUCGUAAAACUCUGUUGGUAGAGAAGAACGUUGGUGAGAGUGGAAAGCUCAUCAAGUGACGGUAACUACCCAGAAAGGGACGGCUAACUACGUG
rnacentral:rRNA from 1 species